rnacentral:rRNA from 1 species
UACGUAGGGGGCAAGCGUUGUCCGGAUUUAUUGGGCGUAAAGAGCGUGUAGGCGGCUUUACAGGUCCGUUGUGAAAACUGGAGGCUUAACCUCCAGACGUCGAUGGAAACCGUAUGGCUAGAGUCCGGAAGAGGAGAGUGGAAUUCCUGGUGUAGCGGUGAAAUGCGCAGAUAUCAGGAAGAACACCCGUGGCGAAGGCGGCUCUCUGGGACGGUACUGACGCUGAGACGCGAAAGCGUGGGGAGCGAACAGG